rnacentral:rRNA from 1 species
GAUGAACGCUGGCGGCGUGCCUAAUACAUGCAAGUCGAGCGAACGGACGAGAAGCUUGCUUCUCUGAUGUUAGCGGCGGACGGGUGAGUAACACGUGGAUAACCUACCUAUAAGACUGGGAUAACUUCGGGAAACCGGAGCUAAUACCGGAUAAUAUUUUGAACCGCAUGGUUCAAAAGUGAAAGACGGUCUUGCUGUCACUUAUAGAUGGAUCCGCGCUGCAUUAGCUAGUUGGUAAGGUAACGGCUUACCAAGGCAACGAUGCAUAGCCGACCUGAGAGGGUGAUCCGCCACACUGGAACUGAGACACGGUCCAGACUCCUACGGGAAGCAGCAGUAGGGAAUCUUCCGCAAAGGGCGAAAGCCUGACGGAGCAACGCCGCGUGAGUGAUGAAGGUCUUCGGAUCGUCAAACUCUGUUAUUAGGGAAGAACAUAUGUGUAAGUAACUGUACACAUCUUGCCGGUACCUAAUCAGAAAGCCACGGCUAACUUCGUG